UACGUAGGGGGCAAGCGUUGUCCGGAUUUACUGGGCGUAAAGCGCGUGUAGGUGGUUUGUUAAGUUGGGUGUUAAAUCUCUCGGCUCAACUGAGAGGUGUCGCUCAAAACUAGCAGACUGGAGGACGGUAGAGGAAGGUGGAAUUCCGGGUGUAGUGGUGAAAUGCGUAGAUAUCCGGAGGAACACCAGUGGCGAAGGCGGCCUUCUGGACCGCUCCUGACACUCAAACGCGAAAGCUAGGGGAGCAAACGGG
rnacentral:rRNA from 1 species